UACGUAGGGGGCAAGCGUUGUCCGGAAUCAUUGGGCGUAAAGAGCGUGUAGGCGGCCAGAAAAGUCCGCUGUGAAAACUCGAGGCUCAACUUCGAGCUGUCGGUGGAAACUUUCUGGCUAGAGUCCGGAAGAGGAGAAUGGAAUUCCUGGUGUAGCGGUGAAAUGCGCAGAUAUCAGGAGGAACACCGGUGGCGAAGGCGGUUCUCUGGGCCUUACCUGACACUGAGGAGCGAAAGCGUGGGGAGCGAACAGG
rnacentral:rRNA from 1 species